UACGAAGGGGGCUAGCGUUGCUCGGAAUUACCGGGCGUAAAGGGCGCGUAGGCGGAUUGUUAAGUCAGGGGUGAAAUCCUGGAGCUCAACUCCAGAACUGCCUUUGAUACUGGCGAUCUUGAGUUCGGGAGAGGUGAGUGGAACUGCGAGUGUAGAGGUGAAAUUCGUAGAUAUUCGCAAGAACACCAGUGGCGAAGGCGGCCGACUGGUCCGGUUCUGACGCUGAGGCGCGAAAGCGUGGGGAGCAAACAGGG
rnacentral:rRNA from 1 species